GAUGAACGCUAGCUACAGGCUUAACACAUGCAAGUCGAGGGGAAACGACAUCGAAAGCUUGCUUUUGAUGGGCGUCGACCGGCGCACGGGUGAGUAACGCGUAUCCAACCUGCCCAUCACUUGGGAAUAACCUUGCGAAAGUAAGACUAAUACCCAAUGACAUCCCACGAAGACAUCUGAAUGGGAUUAAAGAUUUAUCGGUGAUGGAUGGGGAUGCGUCUGAUUAGCUUGUUGGCGGGGUAACUGCCCACCAAGGCAACGAUCAGUAGGGGUUCUGAGAGGAAGGUCCCCCACAUUGGAACUGAGACACGGUCCAAACUCCUACGGGAGGCAGCAGUGAGGAAUAUUGGUCAAUGGGCGAGAGCCUGAACCAGCCAAGUAGCGUGCAGGAUGACGGCCCUAUGGGUUGUAAACUGCUUUUAUAAGGGAAUAAAGUGGGUCUCGUGAGACUUUUUGCAUGUACCUUAUGAAUAAGGACCGGCUAAUUCCGUG
rnacentral:rRNA from 1 species